UACGGGGGGAGCAAGCGUUGUUCGGAUUUACUGGGCGUAAAGGGCGCGUAGGCGGCCUCCGCAAGUCGACUGUGAAAUCUCCGGGCUUAACCCGGAACGGUCAGCCGAUACUGCGGGGCUAGAGUGCAGAAGGGGCAACUGGAAUUCUCGGUGUAGCGGUGAAAUGCGUAGAUAUCGAGAGGAACACCUGCGGCGAAGGCGGGUUGCUGGGGAUGUGCCGACGCUGAGACACGAAAGCCAGGGGAGCAAACGGG
rnacentral:rRNA from 1 species